AUUGAACGCUGGCGGCAUGCCUUACACAUGCAAGUCGAACGGCAGCACGGGAGCUUGCUCCUGGUGGCGAGUGGCGAACGGGUGAGUAAUACAUCGGAACGUACCCUGAAGUGGGGGAUAACGUAGCGAAAGUUACGCUAAUACCGCAUAUUCUGUGAGCAGGAAAGAGGGGGAUCGCAAGACCUCUUGCUUUAGGAGCGGCCGAUGUCGGAUUAGCUAGUUGGUGAGGUAAAGGCUCACCGAGGCGACGAUCCGUAGCGGGUCUGAGAGGAUGAUCCGCCACACUGGGACUGAGACACGGUCCAGACUCCUACGGGAGGCAGCAGUGGGGAAUCUUGCGCAAUGGGCGAAAGCCUGACGCAGCGACGCCGCGUGUGCGAUGAAGGUCUUCGGAUCGUAAAGCACUGUCGCCCGGGAAAAAGAAAGUGAUGGUACCGGGAGAGGAAGCACCGGCUAACUCUGUGCCAGCAGCCGCGGUAAU
rnacentral:rRNA from 1 species